UCUGCCUAGUGGAGGUACUAGUUCAAGAUCUGGAAUGUAGAAAUAAGGUGGUCAUCUUGACAUUUUCCUUUUCUGGUUUUUGCUAUCUGGCAAAACCAUGACAUCAUGAGGUUUCUUUGCUGGGAUUCCAAGUCCAUCUCCACCUGCAAGGAUUACCUUAUCAUCCUCAGUGGUUUAUCAGCCUAGCAGGAACUCAGUGUUAGGAAAAGCCCGCUUUGCCAAAAGAAUGAAGUAACUUCUUUCAAAACCGUGCAAUAAGGUCCAACUCCAACCUCAGCAGUUAGCCAGUUGAUUAAAGACGGAAAAGAAAACAGAGCAAAACAAAACAACAGAAGCUUAACAGAAAUCUGUGAUUCUGAAAAAGAGAAGUGAACAUGGGUCUGUGUACAAUGAACUUCAAUCAGAAAGCAAAGGCGGAGGGGCAAGUUUCUCCUAACAUCACCUUUGAAAGCCUGAGGAAUCAGUGAAAAUGGAAGUCCAUCUGCUCUCAAUAUUCUGACUCUGACAAUGACCCUGGGCUGCUGCUUUCUGCUCUUGGCAGAGGCAGAUCACAACUAUGCCCAAAUUCCUUUUGAUUUCUUAUCCUUCUUUUGGGUAUUAACUGCACUGAGUUCUUUGAAAUUAAAGACUUGAUGUUAAAGAAAAAAAUCAUCAGUAGGGGCGCCUGGGUGGCUCAGGCAGUUGAGCGGCAGACCUC